CUUCUUCUUUUGGUUUCUAGCGAUCCUUCAAUUAUUGAAGAUUAUUCGCCGGGCGUCGACUAUAAAAUUUAUAAUUUACACUAAUUUAGCAACAAAAAAAUCAAAAAUAACAAAAUCAAAAAAUCAACAUAACGUAUGUACAUUUGAAAAAAUAAGUUGUGAUAAAACUAUAUACAUUUGAUAACAGAAUAGUUAGGGAUAGAAUAUGGGGAUUAGAGCAGAUUCUGAGAUCAUACUCUUGAAUCCCUCUACCGUACUGCAUGAUACUAUUUGUUGUGGCAGAUGAUUCCAAUUUAUAACUGUUCGUGGAUAAAAUGAAUAUUUAUAACUGUCUUUAGAUGUUUGUAUUUGCCUAAAUGAGUGUGGAUUGCUAUGUCUGGUUCUAUUGUCAAGUGGGAUCAAAAGAUUAUGUGUAGGAACUGCAACAAUUUCAUGAAUAAUUUUGUAAAAGAAAACAAGUCUGUAUCGUAAACGCCUAAUUUCGAGUGGGUACCAAUUUAGGUCUGUCAUCAUUUCAGUAACUGAGCUGGUGUUAUGGAAGCGGUUGCAUGAGAAGCGUGCUGCUCUUCUCUGAACUUUUUCAAUUUGUAAAUUUUGUUGUUUUUGAUGUGGGUCCCAAAUUGUUGAGCAGUACUCUAAUUUUGGUCGGACAAGAGCUUUAUAUGCAUGAGCUUUAACUUUCGGUGAUGCUAUUUUUAGGUUUCUACGAAUAAAUCCAAGGGACUGGUUUGCUUUUGAUGUCAUGUUAUCUAUAUGUUUGUCCCAUUUUAAGUUUGAUUGAAGAGUUAGGCCUAAAUAUUUUGUAGAGUCAACUUUUUCUAAAGAGUGAUUGUGUAAUUUAUAGGUAAAGUCUAAAGGUUUGCGUUUCUGAGUUACACUGAGAAUGUUGCACUUGUCAGGGUGGAAAUGCAUGAGCCAGUCCUGCUCCCACCUGCCGGCCGCUUCUAAG
rnacentral:lncRNA from 1 species